rnacentral:rRNA from 1 species
AUCUAUGGCCAUACCACCCUGAACUCAACCAAUCUCGUCUGAUCUCGGAAGCUAAGCAGGAUCAGGCCUGGUUAGUACUUGGAUGGGAGAAAUGCCAAUCAAAACCACAAUGAGAUACCAUCUCAC